UAGAAUUGGGUGUAUUGGUAGCACAAAGAACUUUGAAUUCUUAAGUACGGGUUCAAUUCCUGUAGUUCUAG
rnacentral:tRNA from 1 species